UUUCUCUAAUAUGAAUAAACUUUAAAUUCUAAUUAAUGUUUAUCACUGGAAUAUUUUAAAAAUCCAAAAUAAAUAUAAAUAAAAUGAAAAAUUGUCCUUCAGAAAAAGGGCCAGUUGAGACUAAUUACCUUAUUCAUCCAGUUUUUAGUAGAAAAAAAAGAAAAUAUAAAAAUGAUAAAUAGUACAAAUGGAAAUUAUUGAGUUUGUUUUAAUUUUUCAUGCAAUAAAUUGAGUUAUUGCAAGAGGCCCAGUCUUUUUCGCAAUAAGAAGAUUUUAUGGCUCUUACUUCAUUUUAUUGAACAGUAAUAAAGACAUUUAUAACCCCAGUUACUAAUAAAUAAAUUAAAAGCAAAAAUCUUUUAAUACAUUUACAUUUUAAGAUUUCACCCUAAAAUUGUUUUUAAAUCUGUAUCCACCGCCUGAACCAGCAAACCAAAUUCAGGUUAUUUCUGAAUUGUGAUAAAGGGCCCCUGAAAAUCAUUUCAAGGGCUGUGAAUGGCCCCCGGGCCGCACUUUGGACACCCCUGCCUUACUGCCUCACUCGAUGUAGCUCCACAGAUUCAGCCGGUAGCAGAGGAGAGCUGCGCCACGCAUGUCAGCUCUCUGUACAGCACGUCCUCUCGAUGAUGUCAAUGUUUUAUAAUCUUGCGCUUUUAAUAGAACCGUGCUGAGAGUCGUGUGUCUUGUAUAUUACAGUCUUUUUUCCAGCUGUUAGGCAGACGUAUUAAAGAGGAUUGCCACUCAAAUCUAAUAAAAAUAUUGGGGGUUUUUUUUUCUUGUGGUUAAAAUAAAAUUUGCCCCCAGCUGUCUUGCAGGGGCGUGUCUAGAUUUUUUUUUUCUUGGGGGGGCAGGCAGGAGCACAAACUGUAAAAUUGCAAUUUCAUGAACAUUGGGGCAAACCUUGAAAAUUCAAACCAUUUAUUUACCCAAACAAAACACAUAGAUCUGCUUAGCAUAGAUUUGUUUGUUACAGUGGCUAACCUCAUGAUUAGCCUGUUUCAGCUUAGCAUAGCUUAACUGUAUAAAACUCUGUUUUUAGCGCCGUUAAGCUAACUCUGUUCAACCAAUCAACUUAAGUUGAUAAGUUGAUUUAAAGUCAAAAUUACUGACUACAAAUUGCAAAUAACUAUUUCAUUUCCCUUUUUGCUCCUUUAUGGAGAGAUGUUUUGUGUAGUUGUCUGAAGCUGAUUUUUCACAUUAUUAUUAUUAUUAAUAAUAAACAUCAUAUAAAUCAAACUGCCAAAGGGACUAGAAAUGAAAAUUAGACACUUUUCUAUAAUCUCUUGUUAAUUAACGGGAAUGAUCCAUUUUUGCAAAAUAACAUUUUUAAAAAAUAUCAAUUGCAGCAAGUGCAUUUGUCAUCUGCUGACAAUUAUUUUAGUAAUUGAUUAUUGUAUGGAUUAUUUUGACCAAUAGAUAAAAAAUUGGCACAUUUGGCAAAUUUUUCAUUUAACCACAUAAGCCUCUUUUACACAAUAUUUGAAGUAAUUAUGUUACUUUUUUAAAUAAAGCAAUAAUGUUAUUGCCUAAAAUGCAAUAACAUAAAUUUCUUUCAUUUGUAGUUAAGCUAAAGCUAAAGAAAUUUUGAUUAUCUUCUGGAUUAAUAAAUGGAUAGCAAAAGUUGCUUUAAUUUUUAAAGCAUUUUAAUUUUUACAGUUGAAGGUAAAACUGCAACUUGAGGAUUUACAAAAGAGGUUUUUUCAUCUUAAAUGCUAAAUGUUUAUAAACUUUGUAUAGUUUUGGUUCAAUCACUGUUCUGUGUUGUUCUUUCAGCAAAUGGCGUUUUUUAUGCUCCAGCUAACAAUUAAACGUUUACCAAAUUAGUUGAUGUUUACUUCAAUAAUAAUGAAUUAUGAUUGAUUUGGUUAAUAUGAUUCACCCCUUCUACUGACAUGGAGUCUAUGUAGAAUAUGAGGGUAGCCGGUCCCCCCCCAGCCACCCUGUGGCUACGCCCCUGCUCGUUUAUCACCUGAAACUGAGUGGCGCUCCCCUUUAAGUUUAGCAGCAACUUAUCGCCUCAGAGGACUUUGUAUCCACAUUAUUGUGGAAAGAUUUUAGGCCUAUGUUGAAAGUUUAGCCAAAUAGAAAGUGAAAGCCUUAAAAGGCCUAAAUCAGGCAGCCCUCCCGGCGCAUUAAAGGUAAAAAUCCUCUGAUGCUAAUCAGCCCAGGGAGCAUGUGUUGCUAAGGCAUUGUUGACAAGCCCUUUACUGUAAGUUGAUUCUAUGAUGUCAUCAGUGUGUUGUCAUUGUGUAAAAAAAGGAAAAAGGUUCCUAAAUAAAACGUUUUCUGACCCCAUAAAAGCAUCUUUGAGCAGGAGAGACUGCCAACAUGCAUUCAGCCAUCUUUGUUUAUGAAAUCCUGCACUUACAAGAGUUAGCGAUAUUACCAUAAAGAGUUGAAGAAAUCUGAUGUGUAAAUAUUAAAGAAUGCUGCAUUAUUUCAUCAUUAUGGUCACAGUUAACUAUGUACCACUACAGAUUUCUUGAAUAACACUAAGGCGAAGCAUUUUAAGAGGUGGACAAAGUUCUGCGCUAAGAUUUAGCAGAAGCUAACUGGAAUUACUAACUUUAAUUCAUUAUGUCCUUGAAAGACUACAUCUUAAAUUUGACAUCAUUUUCAUGUUCCAUAACGCCCUCAGACAUUGUAUUCAUAUGUUUAUAUCUUGUUCACUACUGUCUGUUUUAUUAUGUUCCUAUUCUUGUCUUAAAUAAAGUUAUUGAGGCGAAAUAGAGAACGUGAGGACAGGCACGCAACGGAACUGCUACGUAAGCAGUCUCCAGCCACUUCAAAAUAAGAGCAUGAACACAGAGGUGUCCAAAGUACUCACAUUCUCUACUUAAGUAAAGGUACAGAUAUUUGUAUGAAAAAAUAUUAUAUUAAAAGUACAGGUUGAACUGUUUUACUCAAAAGUUUAAAAAAAAAAGUACAAAUCUUGAAAUGUAUUCAAGUACAAAAAGUAAAAUAACAUUUUAAAUGAUUUUCAUCUUCAAGAAUACAAAAUGGCUUUUGAUAAAUGUAAAAGACUUAAAACGUUCUAGUCAUACAAAAUACUUUCUUUUUUUUUUUUGCUGAUUCUGUGUUGGUAAAUAUUUGACACACAAAUACCUGAAAAAUCUACAUCCAUAUUGGAGGACACAGAUUGGCUGUAAAUGUCCCGGGAUGCAGAGCUGCUGGACUGAAUAAUGGACCUGACUGCUGGUUUCACUGAAGGCUGAGGGUCUCUGUUCCUCACAGCGCUGGAUCCUGACCAGGAAGUAAAGUUCAGUUAGCUCAGAAACAUCACAACGACAAGAACGUCACGUUUUGCAUUGACUUAAAUCCAAGCUAAACUUUUAAUUAAGUUUUUUUUACUUAUAUUUGCAUAAAUGAAUCAAAAAUAAAGAAAAAUGUGUUUCAGAAAGCUUUAUUGUACAUUUUUAAAUAAGCAUGAAUAAAAUUUUAUUACUUAAGGAUGGAUCAAAAGAGAUGAAGAGUCAAGAGUUUUAAUAAACUGACACAUUUAAAUAAUUAUUUGGUAUUUAUUGUCAUUUUGCACUCUUCAUUCUCCAUACAUCAGGACUGGAGCAACAGUUCAGCAUUAAGCUUUGAAAAUGUAAAUUUUCCAGAAACAAGCCAGUUUAUCCCUAAUGUAGUAGGGACUAUAUCUAUCUAUCUAUCUAUCUAUCUAUCUAUCUAUCUAUUUGCACUAUUUCUCCAAUUUAUUCUAAAAGCUGUAUUAGAGAUGAACUGGUUUGUUCUUAGAAAAAUGUUCAUUUUCAAAACUUAAAUAUGUUCUUCAGUCCUACAUUAUAAAAUAUAAAGAAACACACAAAAUUUAACUGUUUCUCUAAAUUAUUCUAAAACUAUAUUAGGGAUAAAUUAUGGAUAAAACAUAUAGUGCUAUUAAGAUUAGUUUCAGUAGAGGUUGAGACUUGGACUGUUUUUUGCAGUUGCGCAGGUUUUACGGGUUCUGUCAAAUCUGGCAACCUUGCCGAAUGGCGCCAUGUUUUGUUUUUUUAUGAGUGUGAGGCGCAUGCGCCAUGCCGGAUAGAAAUGUGGCGCAGUUUCGACGUAAGCGUUUGAAAUAGGACGCGGCUCGCGCUGAGAUAUGAAACCAGCUUUAUAAUAUUCAUCCAUUCUGGGUUUAAAAACGGGUUUUUCUGACCUGAUAGGACGAAAAGCCGAGUCCGGCUGGACGGCCAGCCUGAAUGACUCAAAACUGUUUUUUCGGGGCCUACUAAUUAGGCUCCUUAACUCACCUGCUGAGGUGAAGCUAAACUGGGCGACCAGGCCGCUGGAGCGCCAUAUUGAAAUCGCUGCAUUUGUUAUUCGGUAAGUUAGUUUUUUGGAAACCUUAUUCGAAGUUGUUUGUUUUGUCUCUGAUGAAAUUAUUGAAGCCAUUUUUUGUUUUUAGCAGAGCAGCAAACGAGGAGCGACCGGACCAUGGCCGGCCGGCGUCCCUGAAAUAUCAAGAACGACCUCGCUGCAUCAAACGUUUUUCUGCCUGCAGUCGUUCACCUGAGCCUCGUCUGAAAGGCCUGCUGGGAAAUCACGCCGACCUUGUGGGAGUAACGCUCGCCGAGGGCUGCGGAGAAACUCAGGAAAACUCGUUUCUGUCAUCAGGAGGACACCGAUGGAAAGUACAAAGACACAGAGAUCAGAGAGGCCCCAUACCACUUUUGUGCUGACCUUAAAAAGAGAGGCGCACUGUGCAAACAUCUGGUCCAUCAGCUGGAUCCUAUGCAUCAGCGGGCACAGGGACACACUGGGACAGGUUGGCGGCUGCCUUUGACAGCAACAGUUAAUUUCCAACAUAAUCAAUUUAUGUGCAGCUCCAUAAUAACCAUCUGUGUUCAGCAUGAGGAGGACAGUCCUGAGGAAGAAAACGGCGCUGGUUGAUCCUCUUCUCCAUCAGCAACGCCAGGAGCAAAAAAGAGGAGAAGAAGGUGGAGGAGGCAGGAAACUAAGAGAAGAGGAGUAAAAACGCAAGUAAAUCUCGAAAGAAAGAGUUACUGUUUUCAGGCUGGUUGCUGAUUAUUAAUUUUGUAUUUGACAAAAGCAUGAAAGAAAAAGAUGAAUACAAGGCACACAACAAGAAUGAGCAUUUCUGAGCUUUCCGUUACAUUUGGAAAGCUGAACUCAGGAAUCAAUGAAUAAUAAAAUAUUUAGCUCCAUUAGCACUAAAUGUACUUUUCCUGAUAAAUUGUAAAGCACCAAUUUACUUUACUGUUUAGUAAACUUUUGUGUCUCUGACACAUGGUUGAAUUUAGUGCUUUAGCAUUAGCUUAAUACUCUGUUGGAAUAGGGCGUUAUUUGUUCACAUUAGCAAUGCUAGCUGCUGUGUUAGCACAGUUAGACCAGCAUUGUUUCUAAUCAAUAAAACAUACUGUGUCCAAUUUACAAAUAUAUUCCAGUCAUCAUCCAUAUUUGCAUCGGUGGACACUGCUAACUAGAAGUUAGAGGACUAAUCGUAAACAUUAGUUCUGCUAAUGCUAGCGCGCUAUAGUAACAUAUUAUUCAGCAGAAGCUAAUGAUAAAGCGCUAAAUUCAACCAUCUGUCAAAGACUCAAAAGUUUACAAAACAAAAAGUAAAUAAGUGCUUUAGGGUUUAUCAGGAAAAGUUAACUUAAUUGUGACAAACAUUUUCAAAGUUAGCAAAAUGCUUAAGCAUUAAGUGAAAAAUUAGCUCCUGUGUUAGCGCAUUAGCGGGUUAGCAGAAGUGUUUUAAAGAGUAGCUUGGCUACAGUAUAUUUUAUUGUCACAAAAUGCUUUUAAAAGUAAAUAACUGCUUUGAAAACAGUGGAAAUGUUCCAGUAUUUGUAGGUGUAAUGGCGAGUAAUACAUUUUCCGUUUAAUUUUCUGGGUCAAAGGGGUUAAACGCACCAGAUGCAAACACUUCAGAUAAAGUUGGUCGUCUCCACAUUUCCCUGUUUUUCAUUUGGUUUUCCUGCAAGGUUAGCGCCGCUGGCACUGGAACGCGGCUGUAUCCUCAUCCACCUCCGAUGUCAGGAUUUUCUGGGGAGGUGUCACUCAGGCGGUUCCUGAAACACCUUGGUGAGCCAAUUACACCGCGGCUGUCAGAGCCAAUAGCAAGCGGCGCCUCACACUCCGACACCCACAGCUUGGCUGGAGUGAAACAAAACAUGAAAACGGAAUCCGGCUCUGGCGACCUUUCACCCCGCAACAUGCAAUUUUCAUAAGAGCAAUUAGCAUAAUGUCCCGGCUCCUGCAGAUCGCCUCUGACUUGUUUUGACCUUAAAGAUUUUUGCAUUUUGAGAUUAAUUUAGUAAACAGAAGUGAUUUAAUGGCUUUGUAAGUUGGAUUAAUAACAUAUGUUUAAUGAUUCUGGUAUGAUUUAUUUCAUUUUGAGCAAAAAUUUAGAAAUUUAGAGGCUCAAAAGUUAGCAAUAGCAUAGCAUCUGUUUAUUUGUAUUUCAUAUUUUUCCAAACAUGUAUAAAUCAGAUAAAAAGUUUUCUUUCUUAGACUUUUGUGUAAAGUAACAACAAAGAUAUUUUUAAAUUACAAGAAUGAAUUCAUAAUAUUAGAACAAUAAAGAUGCAAUAUUACCAGAAAAAAGUCAUUUAAAAAAAGUUAUUUUAAUGAGAAGAGCUUCGAUAGAGCGGUUCUUUCUUUCAAUAAUUUGACUCUAUUUCCUUAUUUUUGAAAAACUGAUAAAGUGUAACUACAAGAUGCUGAAUAUUCCUCAUUUUAAAAGUUCCUAAUAAAAUUACUACUUCAUUCACCUAAUAAUAAGACGUUAUUAUAACAUCAUUAUUUUCGUAUUUUGUCGACCUUAUUGUUGCACUACUGUGUUUUUUUCAAGUGUUUGACUAUUUUCUGUACAACCUAAUUCCUGUAAUAUUUUUACUUUAUUCACAUAUUUUGACUUUUUUCAUAAUGUAUUGACUUUAUUCUCGACAUUGCAUUUUAUUUCUUACCCCAGCCCUAAUAAGAGGUAAUAAUAGAUAGGUUUAAAAAUUCUCUGUAACCAACUUGACUUCCUCCGUUACGCUUUAUGCCUCCUUUUGUUGUUGCUUUAUGUCCAGCAGCUGCAUUUCCAAUACAAAUGAGAGCAAAAAUUUGUCAAUUUUCAGCUAAUUUAAAAAAAAAUCACAAUUUUACAAUUGCUUUGUUUUUAUUAAACAAAAAACAUGAUUCAAAUCAGACAUUGUUCACAUUAUAAGUCCUUAAAACCCUGCCACCCUCCUACCACUUCCUGUUGUCUUCUUCAUGGAUGAUAAGAAAUUGGCUUACUUUGCAAAAUAAACUAAUUUCAAUGUCUUUUUCUUUUUUUUCAAAAUGUAUUUCCAAAACGUUAAACUGUCAUUGAACAAGUU